CUCUCUCUCAAGUGCAAAGCCAUGUGGGAUGUAUGAUGAGGAAGCGGAUCACUCCUAUUUCAUCAUUAGCCCUCCACACUCUCGUUCUCUUUUCUCUCUCUCUCUCUCCCUCUCUCUCUUUCUCUCUCCCUCUGUCUCUCCCCGUCCUGCUUUUUCCUGAGUUGCCGCGCACUCUUUCUCGCUGCUUGGCGCGCGCGCUCUCUCUCCCUCUCUCUCUCUCUCUCUCUCUUUUCUCGGUUUCUUCUACUUCCCCCUGUCUCCCUUGCUCCGUUCCUCUCUCUUCCCCUUCUCUCAGUCCCAGCCGCUUGCAAGGGGGAGACUGGAGCUCUGCAGGAGGAAAAAAAAAAAAAAAAGAGUGAGCGAACGAAAGAGAGGGCGAGCGGGAGAGAGAGAGAAAAAAAAUCUGCUGCUAUUUCUACAGAGAGGGCCUCCCCUCCGCCCGGCCCUGCCAGAGAGGGAGGGUUUCUUUACUACUAACUGGAUUUAACCCUCUGGCUGCAACUCUCUGCAUCGCAGCCCGCAGAAACCUGCUAACAAGUUGCUUUUUGUGGGGCAUUUUCGUGACAUUUCGCGCGCCAAGAUCUGACGGUUGGGAUGUUUUUUUUCACGGCUCGUUUUCGCCAUCGUCUCCGACGCACGUUGUCGGCGGCGGCGCCGCGGCAUGUUUUUCGCGUUCUCGUUUGCGUACGCGCGACGAUCUUUUUCUGCUUUAUUUUUUAUUUUUUCCCCCCGCUUCGCAUCCAUCUUCGUGUUUUGUAUUUUCUUCUUUUUUUUGUCGGCGAUGUUGUGGGGUUUAUUAUUUUUUUGGAGGCGAUAGCUCUGUGUGGUUUUUCCGUGGCGCUGCAUGAUGGCAUUUGGAGGUUUGGCCACCUGGACUUUGCUGUGCCCCCGUCGGCGGCCUCCCGGCCCGGGCUCCUGAAGGCGAACUCCGGGCGGCUCGGUCCCCUUCCUCCCUUUUGUCUUCUCUCCGCCGAGGACGGGAAGAGUUUCUGUCUCAGAGCACGGCGCGCACAUCUGCGAGUUAAAAGACGUGCCUUUUGUGAGUGCCAGCGACACGUUUGGAAGUGUUGUGCUUCCCUCCUCCUUUGCUUUCUGUCUUCCCCUUCGCUCGCUCCCUCCCUCUCUCUUGCUCUCCGUCUCUCUCUCUCUCUCUCUCUCUCUCUCUCUCUCGCUAGCUCUCUCCCUUUCUUUCUCACUUUGCCCUGAGACACCGCUUUGCUGUGCCGAAGCUCUUUCUGGGACAGGUGCCAAUUCUGCACAAAAGACAGAAAAAAAGGGAGUAAAGCAAAGGAUAGCACACAGAAUGAAUUAAGAGAGGUUUCACGGACUCAUAGCUGCGGAGAGCGGCGGAGGGAAGGGGGAAAAGCGCGGAGCGUGGAGCGUGAAGCACGAGCACGAGCCAGGCCUUCCCCGAUUUCACCUUCGAGUGCUGCACUUUGGGAGACUCCCGCCGCAAUCAUUUCAUUUGGAAAGAUGGCAGACCACAGAUUUUCCGUUUUUCCAUGAGAUACCCGGGUGCCGUGAUGCAAUGUCAGAGCACAAAGAGGGCAUGGGGACAAAGAUGGCAGUUGCACAUUCACAAUCAGAUAGAGUAUCCCUGAGCAAAGCAGAGGUGCAGAGGACAGCGUCUGAGGAGGAG